GGGUUGUGAGGUUAAGCGACUAAGCGUACACGGUGGAUGCCCUGGCAGUCAGAGGCGAUGAAGGACGUGCUAAUCUGCGAUAAGCGUCGGUAAGGUGAUAUGAACCGUUAUAACCGGCGAUUUCCGAAUGGGGAAACCCAGUGUGUUUCGACACACUAUCAUUAACUGAAUCCAUAGGUUAAUGAGGCGAACCGGGGGAACUGAAACAUCUAAGUACCCCGAGGAAAAGAAAUCAACCGAGAUUCCCCCAGUAGCGGCGAGCGAACGGGGAGCAGCCCAGAGCCUGAAUCAGUGUGUGUGUUAGUGGAAGCGUCUGGAAAGGCGCGCGAUACAGGGUGACAGCCCCGUACACAAAAAUGCACAUGCUGUGAGCUCGAUGAGUAGGGCGGGACACGUGGUAUCCUGUCUGAAUAUGGGGGGACCAUCCUCCAAGGCUAAAUACUCCUGACUGACCGAUAGUGAACCAGUACCGUGAGGGAAAGGCGAAAAGAACCCCGGCGAGGGGAGUGAAAAAGAACCUGAAACCGUGUACGUACAAGCAGUGGGAGCCUCUUUUAUGGGGUGACUGCGUACCUUUUGUAUAAUGGGUCAGCGACUUAUAUUCUGUAGCAAGGUUAACCGAAUAGGGGAGCCGAAGGGAAACCGAGUCUUAACUGGGCGUUAAGUUGCAGGGUAUAGACCCGAAACCCGGUGAUCUAGCCAUGGGCAGGUUGAAGGUUGGGUAACACUAACUGGAGGACCGAACCGACUAAUGUUGAAAAAUUAGCGGAUGACUUGUGGCUGGGGGUGAAAGGCCAAUCAAACCGGGAGAUAGCUGGUUCUCCCCGAAAGCUAUUUAGGUAGCGCCUCGUGAAUUCAUCUCCGGGGGUAGAGCACUGUUUCGGCAAGGGGGUCAUCCCGACUUACCAACCCGAUGCAAACUGCGAAUACCGGAGAAUGUUAUCACGGGAGACACACGGCGGGUGCUAACGUCCGUCGUGAAGAGGGAAACAACCCAGACCGCCAGCUAAGGUCCCAAAGUCAUGGUUAAGUGGGAAACGAUGUGGGAAGGCCCAGACAGCCAGGAUGUUGGCUUAGAAGCAGCCAUCAUUUAAAGAAAGCGUAAUAGCUCACUGGUCGAGUCGGCCUGCGCGGAAGAUGUAACGGGGCUAAACCAUGCACCGAAGCUGCGGCAGCGACACUAUGUGUUGUUGGGUAGGGGAGCGUUCUGUAAGCCUGUGAAGGUGUACUGUGAGGUAUGCUGGAGGUAUCAGAAGUGCGAAUGCUGACAUAAGUAACGAUAAAGCGGGUGAAAAGCCCGCUCGCCGGAAGACCAAGGGUUCCUGUCCAACGUUAAUCGGGGCAGGGUGAGUCGACCCCUAAGGCGAGGCCGAAAGGCGUAGUCGAUGGGAAACAGGUUAAUAUUCCUGUACUUGGUGUUACUGCGAAGGGGGGACGGAGAAGGCUAUGUUGGCCGGGCGACGGUUGUCCCGGUUUAAGCGUGUAGGCUGGUUUUCCAGGCAAAUCCGGAAAAUCAAGGCUGAGGCGUGAUGACGAGGCACUACGGUGCUGAAGCAACAAAUGCCCUGCUUCCAGGAAAAGCCUCUAAGCAUCAGGUAACAUCAAAUCGUACCCCAAACCGACACAGGUGGUCAGGUAGAGAAUACCAAGGCGCUUGAGAGAACUCGGGUGAAGGAACUAGGCAAAAUGGUGCCGUAACUUCGGGAGAAGGCACGCUGAUAUGUAGGUGAAGUCCCUCGCGGAUGGAGCUGAAAUCAGUCGAAGAUACCAGCUGGCUGCAACUGUUUAUUAAAAACACAGCACUGUGCAAACACGAAAGUGGACGUAUACGGUGUGACGCCUGCCCGGUGCCGGAAGGUUAAUUGAUGGGGUCAGCGCAAGCGAAGCUCUUGAUCGAAGCCCCGGUAAACGGCGGCCGUAACUAUAACGGUCCUAAGGUAGCGAAAUUCCUUGUCGGGUAAGUUCCGACCUGCACGAAUGGCGUAAUGAUGGCCAGGCUGUCUCCACCCGAGACUCAGUGAAAUUGAACUCGCUGUGAAGAUGCAGUGUACCCGCGGCAAGACGGAAAGACCCCGUGAACCUUUACUAUAGCUUGACACUGAACAUUGAGCCUUGAUGUGUAGGAUAGGUGGGAGGCUUAGAAGUGUGGACGCCAGUCUGCAUGGAGCCGACCUUGAAAUACCACCCUUUAAUGUUUGAUGUUCUAACGUGGACCCGUGAUCCGGGUUGCGGACAGUGUCUGGUGGGUAGUUUGACUGGGGCGGUCUCCUCCUAAAGAGUAACGGAGGAGCACGAAGGUUGGCUAAUCCUGGUCGGACAUCAGGAGGUUAGUGCAAUGGCAUAAGCCAGCUUGACUGCGAGCGUGACGGCGCGAGCAGGUGCGAAAGCAGGUCAUAGUGAUCCGGUGGUUCUGAAUGGAAGGGCCAUCGCUCAACGGAUAAAAGGUACUCCGGGGAUAACAGGCUGAUACCGCCCAAGAGUUCAUAUCGACGGCGGUGUUUGGCACCUCGAUGUCGGCUCAUCACAUCCUGGGGCUGAAGUAGGUCCCAAGGGUAUGGCUGUUCGCCAUUUAAAGUGGUACGCGAGCUGGGUUUAGAACGUCGUGAGACAGUUCGGUCCCUAUCUGCCGUGGGCGCUGGAGAACUGAGGGGGGCUGCUCCUAGUACGAGAGGACCGGAGUGGACGCAUCACUGGUGUUCGGGUUGUCAUGCCAAUGGCACUGCCCGGUAGCUAAAUGCGGAAGAGAUAAGUGCUGAAAGCAUCUAAGCACGAAACUUGCCCCGAGAUGAGUUCUCCCUGACCCUUUAAGGGUCCUGAAGGAACGUUGAAGACGACGACGUUGAUAGGCCGGGUGUGUAAGCGCAGCGAUGCGUUGAGCUAACCGGUACUAAUGAACCGUGAGGCUUAACCUUACAACGCCGAAGGUGUUU
rnacentral:rRNA from 1 species